rnacentral:rRNA from 1 species
AGAUCAAGGUAGAAAGGGCGUACGGUGGAUGCUUGGCACUAGGAGCCGAUGAAGGACGCGACGAACAGCGAAAUGCCCUGGGGAGUGGUAAGUACAC